AUGAACGCUGGCGGCGUGCCUAAUACCUGCAAGUCGAGCGAACAGACGAGGAGCUUGCUCCUCUGACGUUAGCGGCGGACGGGUGAGUAACACGUGGAUAACCUACCUAUAAGACUGGGAUAACUUCGGGAAACCGGAGCUAAUACCGGAUAAUAUAUUGAACCGCAUGGUUCAAUAGUGAAAGACGGUUUUGCUGUCACUUAUAGAUGGAUCCGCGCCGCAUUAGCUAGUUGGUAAGGUAACGGCUUACCAAGGCAACGAUGCGUAGCCGAACUGAGAGGGUGAUAGGCCACACUGGAACUGAGACACGGUCCAGACUCCUAAGGGAGGCAGCAGUAGGGAAUCUUCCGCAAUGGGCGAAAGCCUGACGGAGCAACGCCGCGUGAGUGAUGAAGGUCUUCGGAUCGUAAAACUCUGUUAUUAGGGAAGAACAAAUGUGUAAGUAACUAUGCACGUCUUGACGGUACCUAAUCAGAAAGCCACGGCUAACUACGUG
rnacentral:rRNA from 1 species